rnacentral:lncRNA from 1 species
GAGUUCUCAUGAAAAGGAUGAGACCUCUUAGAGAAACUAGAAGACUCGUAAAGCAUUACUGAUUUCCAAUGCAUAAUCUUUUUCCAUUUCCAAAGCAUAAAUUACGUCUGAAUCUUGACUCAGAAACCUCCAAUGGUAUGUAAUUAACCUCAUAAAAUUCAUAGAAUCGAUCUGAAAUCAGUCCUGAGAUUUUACUUCCUUGGAAAACUAGAAGACUAAGGUGGGAAGACACUCCUGUGUAUUUUCCUCUAAUUCAGGAAGAAGGUGCUGUAAUUAGAGAGGUAACUCCAUUGAUCAUUGACGACUGUAGCAGCAGCGGAGCUCGCGAGUCCACGGCGGAGAUGUGAGGAUCCGACCUCAGCUGCAGCCACCAAAGCGGACCUCUGCUCUCAUAGCAUGGAAGGGGACCAAAGCAGAGGUGUCCACCUCGGUGCAGCUCACUGCUGCAUGGGUUUCUUCUCGCUCUGCUAUCCACCUGUGGCUGCCGUAUGAACAAGUGAUAUGGCAUCUGUCAGCUUCAUCAAAUGACGUGCAUGACGCUCACACAUGGAUUCGAAUACGAGACUUAUUAUUUUUACAAUAAAUAUAUUAAAUAAUAAAAAAAUCGAGUAAAUGAGUACAAUAUAAAAUAGCAUUAUAUAUAUAAAAAAAAGAUAAAUAAAAUAAAUAAAUAUUUUGAUAUUGCUCACCAUCAAUAUAACUAAAUUAAAUUUAAAUACCUAAACUAAUUAUAUUAUUUGACCCCUCAUAUUUCUCAACAUUUUUGGAAGGUAUAUUAAUGAUAAAUGUAGUUUCAACGUCAUUAUAGUAAUAAUGAAUUGAUGACUACCAACAAUACCGAUCAAACGCUGUUGUCACCGUUUCGUUGAUGUUGAGGUGGAACGAGAAUAGUUGCGGUUGACCAGUCCUGUCCAUGAAAUAUUCAUCUACAUAAUUUGACUGUAUUACUACUUAUCAUCAUCCUUACACUCAAAUAUGCGAACAUGCAUCAUAAUGAUAAACAUAUUGCAUGGUACAUCAUGAUGUGUGAUUGAUGUGCGGGUGUGGUGGAUGGAGAGCUACUUGGUGUCCUUCAUAUUAAUGGAGAACAGCGACUGCACGCGUAGCCUCCGACUCAGGCCACCGGGGAGGCAGAAGGCAGCAGUGUCAACGUCCCAUCGGAGACUUGCGGAGCUCGCCAUGUGGGGGCACGUCGGAGACUUCAUCAGCCACGAGGGGAGAUGGAAGUGGAGGCGUAGGGAGAGGAGGUGGCACAGUCGAUAAGGGUCCCCAGACGCGGAUCAGAACGCGACGUCAGGGCCAGCGGAAGUGGACGAAGGACGCCGAAGGGGGGCGCAGAGCCGCUGCUGCGCAGGCGGAAAGCACGGCGAGAAGAGGAAGGGAGAUGGGGAAGACAAGCCGCGUGGCUGCGGUACAUGGGGGAUGGCGGAAAUGGCGGCGAGGAUGGCGAGGAAGACGAAAGGAAGCGGGGGAGGACAAGUGGUUGAUGAUGGUGAUUGCAUUGCGUACG